rnacentral:rRNA from 1 species
AUGAUUCGUGGGACGUCCUGCCGGUGGUGGCGAGUCGAAGGCGAGCUCCCGUCGUGGUUCCCACUUCGGUUCUUGCUCGCCCGAGGCGGACCCCGAUGAAAUCCUACCGCGGUGCUCUUCACCGAGUGUCGAGGUGGGCCGGCACGUUUACUUUGAACAAAUUAGAGUGCUUAAAGCAGGCCUGUUGCGCCUGAAUACUGUGUGCAUGGAAUAAUGGAAUAGGACCUCGGUUCUAUUUUGUUGGUUUUCGGAACCCGAGGUAAUGAUUAAUAGGGACAGGCGGGGGCAUUCGUAUUGCGACGUUAGAGGUGAAAUUCUUGGAUCGUCGCAAGACGGACCGAAGCGAAAGCAUUUGCCAAGUAUGUUUUCAUUAAUCAAGAACGAAAGUUAGAGGUUCGAAGGCGAUCAGAUACCGCCCUAGUUCUAACCAUAAACGAUGCCAGCUAGCGAUCCGCCGAAGUUCCUCCGAUGACUCGGCGGGCAGCUCCCGGGAAACCAAAGCUUUUGGGUUCCGGGGGAAGUAUGGUUGCAAAGCUGAAACUUAAAGGAAUUGACGGAAGGG